UCCGUGAACCUCGUAGUCGAAGGUCGGUUCUUUCCACUGUCGUCGGAUCCCGAAUCUUGCAUUUCUCGACGUCGAUGGCGGCCAUGGAGGAGUUGAGUUAGCUCGCGCAGACCACAAGUCGCCGCCCUCCUCGCGGACGAGGACUUCGAUGAAAGAUCGUACAAGCGGCGGAUUUCCACCUUCCUCAACGUCGUCGUUCUCGGCAACGUUGGUGCUGAUAAAUCAGCAAUGUAGAACAGCUUGAUCGGACAUUCCGCAUUGGUAUGGUGAACUUGGAAUUGUACUUCUAGUCUGUUCAUGUUUCAUCAUUUGCGACCUGCACCUUUCUGUUGAGUCGAGAGGCAUUAAUUGUUUGCUGAAAUCAACUGGAGAAAAUGGUUUCACUCGCUCUCUUGAGAUGGCUCUAUCAGUGUUGAUUUGCAAAGAGAUGGCUCUCUGAGCAGUAAAUCAAUCAUCCUGCAAAUAGAUGACAAAUCCCAACAGGUUUCUGCAAGUGUUCUUAUAUACUCUCUUCAGGAGAAGCUAAGCAAGGGCACAGAAGCUCAUAGUUCAGUAAAGAGCCGUGCAGAUGUGAUCUAUAUGAAACCCUGGACGGGUACAGGCAAUGGGGUUAUAUAAUAUUAUUUGUUUAAGGACAGUGAUUACGGUGCACAUACUGAUGCAAUAUUGCUAGUUAUAGUGCCAGCUGCUCAGGCACUAGAUAUUUCUUCUUCCUGAGCUGUUAGACAGGCUAAGGAAUUUGAUGCAGAAGAUUACAAGUCUCAGAUUGUUCAUGAUGUUUGUUUAGGCUUGGAGAACAAAUGGUGCAAAGUGCUGAAGGUACCAGAGCUAUUGCACUAGAGCUAUGUCAAGAAUUUGAAGGUAAGUUUCUUCAGCACAUUGCUACUGGUGAGAUCAGCGGUUGUCAUUUUUUCUUUAUAGUUUUAAUUUUAUCAUGCUCUAUGCAUACAACUUCAGUUCUCCUCUUCUAUCGGUUUUCAUCCCAGGCAACUGUUUCUCUAUUAUUUAGUAUGUACUGGAAAUUUCUUCUUGUUGCUUGGUGACCGUGUUUCUCUAGGUUGUUAUGUAAUCUAUGUAUUGAUUCAAAUUGGCUUUUUGCCCCUUCGAAUCUGGUGCUACCUGAUCUUCAUGUAGAUUUUUAUAUUUUAAGAAUGAAAAUCAUGAAUGUCAUCUCGUGUUGUUAAAACCCAGUGUGCCUAAUCAUUUCCUAGGCUAGAUGACAGCUGUUUGUGCCUCUUCUUGCCAGAUUAUAUACUAGUAUGAAGUAGUCCAUGUUUCUAUAAAAUUUAUGACAGAAUUUUGAUGGCAGAUUACCUCCUAUGUUUUGUCUCUGCAUUAAAUGACUAUCUCUAUCUGCAACAACUGGCAUAGACUGAUACAGAAGGAUACUGUGAAAAUAUAUCAUAUGCACCUGAUGUACUUCAACAUUAUGGAUAGGGACCAACCCUAAAAGAUAACAGUCAUGCCAUUCUCACUUACAUAUCUUCAUUUCUACACUUGUUGACUCUCAUGACUUCAAAUUGUAGUUAAAUUUAUUUUGUGAUUCUUAUGGUCGACAACUUUGAGGUGUUGAGGCCGAAGACUAUAGAGUUGCAAACAAACUAUAACUAAUAAUGUUAUUACAAAAGAAAAAUGAAAGGGGGUUGCUCAGUACACAAGGCUCAUGCCAAAGUGGGUGAGCUUUUUAUUUUUUGGGGUAAUGAGGGAAGUGGGUUAAUAUAGGCAGUUCUACCCCUGUAGCACAGGGACUGCUUCUGUGAUUCAAACAGUGGUCACCCAUGUCACAAAGGAGGGAGGGCAGAGGUGCCUUGAUACAAAUAGUCAUGACCCAAAUUGGCCUAAUAAGCCAUUUAUUUAUAUGAAGUGAACUUGACUAAUCAAUAGAAGUCAAAGCUAAGAAGAAGCUGAGCCAAGGAAAUAGAACACUUGAAAAAAAAUUGUCGGAUCUGUAUUAAUUUCCUCCAGCACAUAUGUAGCUGAGCCUCUUCGCAAUAAAAACAAAAGAAACAAGAGAAGCUGCCCGUUCCUGUUGUUUAAAUGCACUAGAUUUGACCUACUAACUAUUACCAUUUUUUUCAUGUCUAGUAGAUUAUCUCUUUCUUCCGUUUUUUAUGGUUUAUCUUAAGCUAUAAUCUGUUUUAAUCCCUUCAUAUUCUGUUUAUUCAGAAAGGAUUUUUAUACUAUUCCAACAAAAUUGAAAAAUGCAACUAAUGAAAGUUGAGUCCUAUUAUUUGCAAUAUAGCAAAUGUUGCAUUUUAUGUACAGGAUGCGGGUUAGAAGGUUGUUUCAUCAUUUGAAUGAAAUUUUCCUGGCAGAAUGAAGCAGUUCCUGUUGGAUAGAUUUUUUGAUAUCAACAAUGUUAAAGGGAUAAACUUGCCUUGUGUUAUCUUUUAUAAGAUUUGUUACAACUGUCCGUGUUGUUAAUUGCUCUGCAUAAUAAUUGUGCCUUCUAGAUUAUUUUGGAGGCUGAUGGUUAUUAGCCAUAUUUGAUAUCUCCGUGGAAAAGUUUGAUAUAUUUAAUAUUAAUUAAACUUAUGUUGAAUCAUGUAAUGACUGGACAUAGCAAGAGCAUGACACCAAAUUGAUAGCAAUAUGGAAUGAUAGUUACGGAAUAGUUGAUUAUUUCUUCUUCUUAUUGUAUGCACAUCAUGUUGCUAUGACGACUUAUGGCAGUUUAAGAGAGGCGUAUAAUUUAAUGUUCCUUUAUUUGUUGACCAAAACUUGUUCAUGAAAAUGAUUAUGCUUACCCUCCUUUAUUUAAUGUUCUUAUUAUUUGAUUAUGUUUCUAUAGCAUAUACUGGAUUGGAAAAUUUUAGAAAUGAAGCAAAAUAGAUGGUUAGUUGACAUCGAGCGUGCUUCUUAUAUUUGUAUCACCAAGUCAAAU